GUUCUCCUCUCUGCAGCGGCGGCGCUGGCGGAGAAGGAACUCGACACGCACCGACCGCCCUCCCGCCCCAGCCGAAGCGGAAGCUGUAGCCCGCUCUGGGCCGGGGCCAUGGGCGCCCCGCGCCGCCCGGGUCAUGAGGACGGAGGCGGAGGCAGCGGGGCCGCCGCUCGAGCCCGGGGACUUUGUGCAGCUGCCUGUGCCCAUCAUCCAGCAGCUCUACCACUGGGACUGUGGCCUGGCCUGCUCCAGGAUGGUGCUGCGGUACCUGGGCCAGCUGGACGACAGUGAGUUUGAGAGAGCCCUGCAGGAGCUGCAGCUGACAAGGAGCAUCUGGACCAUUGACCUGGCCUACCUGAUGCACCACUUUGGCGUGAGGCACCGCUUCUGUACCCAGACCCUGGGCGUCGACAAGGGCUACAAGAACCAGGUGAGUGACCAGCCACCAGGCCUUCCCAUGUGGGGCCACACAGAGGUAUAAGGCCACCUGGUUCCAGUAGUUGGAAGAGGGAACAGUCAAGGGCUAGACACCCAGGUAGAUACCCAGGUGUGCAGAGACCAGGGAGCAGCAGCAGAGAGGCUAUAGGCAGGAUUUGGGAGCCAGUCAGAGCAGGUGCCCUUG
rnacentral:sRNA from 1 species